rnacentral:rRNA from 1 species
UAAUACGUAGGAGGCGAGCGUUAUCCGGAUUUAUUGGGCGUAAAGAGGGCGUAGGCGGCCUUUCAAGUCGAAUAUAAAAUCUCCCAGCUUAACUGGGAGGGACUAUGCGAUACUGUUAGGCUGGAGGGCAGCAGAAGGAGGUGGAAUUCCCGGUGGAGUGGUGAAAUGCGUAGAUAUCGGGAGGAACACCAGUGGCGAAGGCGGCCUCCUAGGCUGUUUCUGACGCUGAGGCCCGAAAGCGUGGGGAGCGAACAGGAUUAGAUACCCUGGUAGUCCACGCCGUAAACGAUGGAUACUAGGUAUGGGGAGUAUCGACCCUCUCCGUGCCGUAGCUAACGUGUUAAGUAUCCCGCCUGGGGAGUACGGCCGCAAGGCUA